rnacentral:rRNA from 1 species
GUACACACCGCCCGUCGCUCCUACCGAUUGAAUGGUCCGGUGAAAUCUUCGGAUUGCUGGAUAGGAGGGCAACCGCCUAUCUGCGAGAAGUUGCUUGAACCUUAUCAUUUAGAGGAAGGAGAAGUCGUAACAAGGUUUCCGUAGGUGAAC